UACGAAGGGGGCUAGCGUUGUUCGGAUUAACUGGGCGUAAAGGGUGCGUAGGCGGGUUUUUAAGUCAGGGGUGAAAUCCCGGAGGCUCAACCUCGGAACUGCCUUUGAUACUGGAAAUCUUGAGUCUGGGAGAGGUGAGUGGAACUGCGAGUGUAGAGGUGAAAUUCGUAGAUAUUCGCAAGAACACCGGUGGCGAAGGCGGCUCACUGGCCCGGAACUGACGCUGAGGCACGAAAGCGUGGGGAGCAAACAGG
rnacentral:rRNA from 1 species